AAACUACUCCCUCCGUCCGAAAAUACUUGUCAUCAAAAUGGAUAAAAGGGGAUGUAUCUAGACGUAUUUUAGUUCUAGAUACAUCCUUUUUUGUCCAUUUUGAUGACAAGUAUUUUCGGACGGAGGGAGUAGUUU
rnacentral:pre_miRNA from 1 species